rnacentral:rRNA from 1 species
AAUCAACGCUGGCGGCGUGCCUCAGACAUGCAAGUCGAACGAUUAAAGCUCCCUUCGGGGAGUGUAUAGAGUGGCGCACGGGUGAGUAACACGUAAGUAAUCUACCUUUGAGUGGGGAAUAACCCGGGGAAACCCGAGCUAAUACCGCAUAACGCAGCGGCAUCGCAAGAUGACAGUUGUUAAAGGAGCAAUCCGCUUAAAGAGGAGCUUGCGGCAGAUUAGCAGUUGGUAAGGUAAUGGCUUACCAAGGCUACGAUCUGUAUCCGGUCUAAGAGGACGGUCGGACACACUGACACUGAAUAACGGGUCAGACUCCUACGGGAGGCAGCAGUCGGGAAUUUGGGCAAUGGGCGAAAGCCUGACCCAGCAACGCCGCGUGAAGGAUGAAGUAAUUUCGGUAU